CCUGCAAGUCGAACAGCGGCACGGACUUCGGUCUGGUGGCGAGUGGCGAACAGGUGAGUAAUGUAUCGGAACGUGCCUAGUAGCGGGGGAUAACUACGCGAAGGCGGCAGCUAAUCCCCGCAUACGCCCUUCGGGGAAAGCAGGGGACGGGCCUCGCACUAUUAGAGCGGCCGAUAUCGGAUUAGCUAGUUGGUGGGGUAACGGCUCACCAAGGCGACGAUCCGUAGCUGGUUUGAGGGAGGACGACCAGCCACACUGGGACUGAGGCUUACGGCGAACUCCUACGGGAGGCAGCGGUGGGAAUUUUUGGACAAUGGGAAACCCUGAUCCAGUCAUCCUGCGUGUGCGAUGAAGGCCUUCCAGGUUAUAAAACUUGCACAGCAGGAAAGAAACGGCGCGGAUAUGCCCCGUGCAGCUGACGGUACCUGCAGAAUAAGCACCGGCUAACUACGUGCCAGCGGCGCGGUAAUACGCGAGGUGCAAGCGUUAAUCAGAAUUACUGGGCGUAAAGCGUGCGCAGGCGGUUCGGAAAGAAGAUGUUGAAAUCCCCAGGCUUAACUGGAACUGCAUUUAACUACCGAGCUAGAGUGUCAGAGGAGGUGGAAUUCCGCGUGUAGCAGUGAAAUGCGUAGAUAUGCGGAGGAACACACCGAUGGCGAAAACGGCCUCCUGGGAUAACACUGCGCUCAUACACGAAAGCGUGGGGAGCAAACAGGAUUAGAUACCCUGGUAGUCCACGCCUAAACGAUGUCAACUGGCUGUUGGGGCCUUCGGGCCUUGGUAGCGCAAUAACGCGUGAAGUUGACCGCCUGGGGAAGUACAGUCGCAAGAUUAAAACUCAAGGAAUUGACGGGGACCCUGCACAAGCGGUGGAUGAUGUGGAUUAAUUCGAUGCAACGCGAAAAACCUUACCUACCCUUGACAUGUCUGGAAUCCCGAAGAGAUUUGGGAGUGCUCGCAGAACCGGAACACAGGUGCUGUGGCUGUCGUCAGCUCGUGUCGUGAGAUGUUGGGUUAAGUCCCGCAACGGGCCGCAACCCUUGUCAUUUGGUGCUACGAAGGGACGCUCUAAUGAGACUGCCGGUGACAAGCCGGAGGAAGGUGGGGAUGACGUCAAGUCCUCAUGGCCCUUGUAGGUGGGCUUCACACGUCAUACAAUGGUCGGGACAGAGGGUCACUUAGCCAACCCGCGAGGGAGCCAAUCCCGAAACCCGAUCGUAGUCCGGAUCGCAGUCUGCAACUCGACUGCGUGAAGUCGGAAUCCGCUAGUAAUCGCGGAUCAACAUGUCGCGGUGAAUACGUUCCCGGGUCUUGUACACACCGCCCGUCACCUGUCAGAAUUAGGUUUUUUGAAAGUAGUUAGCCUAACCGUAAGGAGGGCGAUUGCACGAUGGGAUUCAUGACUGGGGGUGAAGUCGCGGCAAGGUAG
rnacentral:rRNA from 1 species